UUGACACUAAGGGCGGAGUGACAUAAUUUCAGGAGUGAGGGUUAGGGAGAGGUUUCCCCCUCCCCCUGGUGUUCUUAGUAAGCCUGGAAGCUAAUCACUAAGAGUAUCACCAGUAUGAUGACGUGCUUCAUCAUGACCCUUUCCUUAUU
rnacentral:sRNA from 1 species